AUUGAACGCUGGCGGUAUGCUUAACACAUGCAAGUCGAACGAUGAGAAAGAGCUUGCUCUUUCGAUUAGUGGGGGACGGGUGCGUAACGCGUAGUAAUCUACCUAUUAGUGGGGGACAACUUAGGGAAACUUAAGCUAAUACCGCAUACGCCCUACGGGGAAAGAAGGGGAUCGCAAGACCUUUUGCUAAUAGAUGAGCCUGCGUAGGAUUAGCUAGUUGGUGGGGUAAAAGCUCACCAAGGCGACGAUCCUUAACUAGUUUGAGAGAAUGAUCAGUCACACUGGAACUGAGACACGGCCCAGACUCCUACGUGAGGCCGGAGUGGGGAAUUUUGGACACUGGUCGAAAGCAUGAUCCAGCAAUACCGCGUGUGUGAAGAAGGCCUUAGGGUUGUAAAGCACUUUCAAUAGGAAGGAAAACCUCGAAGCUAAUACCUUCGAGUUUGACAUUACCUUUAGAAGCAGCACCGGCUAACUCCGUGCCAGCAGCCGCCGUAAUAC
rnacentral:rRNA from 1 species